CGGCCGCUGGCGGGCGCCGAGCGCGCCGAGCUGCUGGCGCGCGCGCUGGGCGUCAACCCGAAGCGGUACCUCAAUGUACUUCCCGGAGGCAUUUUAUAUGAGCCUCUUAUUAAAAAAGCCAAUUUAAGCUGUAUUUCAUAAGUACUAAGGAUUGAAUAUUAUUGUCCUUGGAAUGUAAGGGCUUCCCACAGUUAUCAAUCCCGAGUAAAACACAAAAUUUCAAUAAAAAGUAGAAUGGGUGAUGAAAGAAAUUAAUGGACUCAAACGGCUUUAUGACAAUGUUACCCAACAUAAAGAAGAAGACCCCAUGACUCGAUCACAAUUUAAAGAUACCUAUAUUUUUGUAGAUUUUAAUUUCAAGUAAUAAACAUUAAUUUAUCUAA